rnacentral:rRNA from 1 species
GAUGAACGCUGGCGGCGUGCCUAAUACAUGCAAGUCGAGCGAACAGACGAGGAGCUUGCUCCUCUGACGUUAGCGGCGGACGGGUGAGUAACACGUGGAUAACCUACCUAUAAGACUGGGAUAACUUCGGGAAACCGGAGCUAAUACCGGAUAAUAUCUUGAACCGCAUGGUUCAAUAGUGAAAGACGGUUUUGCUGUCACUUAUAGAUGGAUCCGCGCCGCAUUAGCUAGUUGGUAAGGUAACGGCUUACCAAGGCAACGAUGCGUAGCCGACCUGAGAGGGGGAUCGGCCACACUGGAACUGAGCCACGGUCCAGACUCCUACGGGAGGCAGCAGUAGGGAAUCUUCCGCAAUGGGCGGAAGCCUGGCGGAGCAACGCCGCGUGAGUGAUGAAGGUCCUCGGAUCGUAAAACUCUGUUAUUAGGGAAGAACAAAUGUGUAAGGAACUAUGCACGUCUUGACGGUACCUAAUCAGAAAGCCACGGCUAACUACGUG